rnacentral:rRNA from 1 species
GCUCAGGAUGAACGCUGGCGGCGUGCCUAAUACAUGCAAGUCGAGCGAACGGACGAGAAGCUUGCUUCUCUGAUGUUAGCGGCGGACGGGUGAGUAACACGUGGAUAACCUACCUAUAAGACUGGGAUAACUUCGGGAAACCGGAGCUAAUACCGGAUAAUAUUUUGAACCGCAUGGUUCAAAAGUGAAAGACGGUCUUGCUGUCACUUAUAGAUGGAUCCGCGCUGCAUUAGCUAGUUGGUAAGGUAACGGCUUACCAAGGCAACGAUGCAUAGCCGACCUGAGAGGGUGAUCGGCCACACUGGAACUGAGACACGGUCCAGACUCCUACGGGAGGCAGCAGUAGGGAAUCUUCCGCAAUGGGCGAAAGCCUGACGGAGCAACGCCGCGUGAGUGAUGAAGGUCUUCGGAUCGUAAAACUCUGUUAUUAGGGAAGAACAUAUGUGUAAGUAACUGUGCACAUCUUGACGGUACCUAAUCAGAAAGCCACGGCUAACUACGUGCCAGCAGCCGCGGUAAUACGUAGGUGGCAAGCGUUAUCCGGAAUUAUUGGGCGUAAAGCGCGCGUAGGCGGUUUUUUAAGUCUGAUGUGAAAGCCCACGGCUCAACCGUGGAGGGUCAUUGGAAACUGGAAAACUUGAGUGCAGAAGAGGAAAGUGGAAUUCCAUGUGUAGCGGUGAAAUGCGCAGAGAUAUGGAGGAACACCAGUGGCGAAGGCGACUUUCUGGUCUGUAACUGACGCUGAUGUGCGAAAGCGUGGGGAUCAAACAGGAUUAGAUACCCUGGUAGUCCACGCCGUAAACGAUGAGUGCUAAGUGUUAGGGGGUUUCCGCCCCUUAGUGCUGCAGCUAACGCAUUAAGCACUCCGCCUGGGGAGUACGACCGCAAGGUUGAAACUCAAAGGAAUUGACGGGGACCCGCACAAGCGGUGGAGCAUGUGGUUUAAUUCGAAGCAACGCGAAGAACCUUACCAAAUCUUGACAUCCUUUGACAACUCUAGAGAUAGAGCUUUCCCCUUCGGGGGACAAAGUGACAGGUGGUGCAUGGUUGUCGUCAGCUCGUGUCGUGAGAUGUUGGGUUAAGUCCCGCAACGAGCGCAACCCUUAAGCUUAGUUGCCAUCAUUAAGUUGGGCACUCUAAGUUGACUGCCGGUGACAAACCGGAGGAAGGUGGGGAUGACGUCAAAUCAUCAUGCCCCUUAUGAUUUGGGCUACACACGUGCUACAAUGGACAAUACAAAGGGCAGCGAAACCGCGAGGUCAAGCAAAUCCCAUAAAGUUGUUCUCAGUUCGGAUUGUAGUCUGCAACUCGACUACAUGAAGCUGGAAUCGCUAGUAAUCGUAGAUCAGCAUGCUACGGUGAAUACGUUCCCGGGUCUUGUACACACCGCCCGUCACACCACGAGAGUUUGUAACACCCGAAGCCGGUGGAGUAACCUUUUAGGAGCUAGCCGUCGAAGGUGGGACAAAUGAUUGGGGUGAAUCUA